UCCAAACUAAUUCCGGAGCACACCAACCAGCACCUACUCCAAGCCUAAUCACCUCUUCAUUCCCCAACUAAUAAAAGAAAUGCAUUGUUGCUAUCCUCCUGCCAACGUCCCAUCGCCCUAUACUGUCACCUAAACUACUUCUCAUUCCAUCAAACAAUUGUAAAAAAACAAACAUUCUCCUUUCUUCCAGUAGCCGUGACCCCACUACCAUUAUGCUACCUCCCUUCACUGCUUCCAACCGUAACCUCUUCACUUCUUCCUUCAAAAAUACAAAUUCCCACCUCUGCACCGUGCACACACUUUUCCAAUUUAAAGAAAACAAUUUAAACUUCUUCCCACAUCGUGCUGCACCGUGAGCUUCUAAAAGGAAUAGAAAAGAAUUACUUCCCUCCUAAAACCGUGACACCUAAUCUAGUCUAAUCUCCAUCUUCAAUUUUUUUAUUCAUCACCACAUGAGCUAUACUUCUAAACAAACCUUUUUCUCGCAAAUGAAUGUUCUUUUCAGCAAGCAUGCCGUGACCACUCCUCUCACACAAUAUACUUUAUUCAAGCACAUCCAAAGACUUGUCCCUUCUUAAUACAAAUAUCAUGUCCCAAUAAUUAUUGAACAUGGCCGUGUAGUGACACUUGCUUAAGGAAUAAAAUACGAUGCAACACAUAAGCUAAACAAUCCAAUACAAUUCAUGGUGGAAAUAUCAUACAUAAAACACAUUAACAGAGGAAUAAACUACUUCAAUCAAUGUUUUCCAACGUGUAGAAUAAGAUUGGUUCAAGCAUUAAGAUACAACAACACCUAUUGAAGCUAAGCUCCUUUCCUUUCCUUCUGGACACCGUCUGCAAUGAAAGCUCAACCAGAAACUCUUCUCAGUGGCAGCCAAACGUCUUCUCCUGCACGUUGCCCUCCAACCAAUUCAAUUCUGGAACUCCAGCAGCAAAAGCUUCCCAGUAGCUUUCUAAAACGUUCCCCAGAGAGUGUCUGUAACUAAGAGUAGCGUGUAUCCGAGUGUGUACCCCCGCAGCCAACUUCCUUCCUUCUUUAAAUGCUGAAAACCAUCCCUUUCAAGUCUGGAAUGCAAAACGUCCAAAUGUCAAUCCCCUCUUCACACCUUUUCAUGUGUUGUCUCCUCUUUUAGCUUGCAUCCACUUGGAGCUCCUUGUCCGAUAAAAGCUUGUGUGUAGUGGGCAAAGCAGAUAGAUCUCAGUCUUUCAUCAUGGAGUUACUCCCUUUUGUGCGUAAAUUGCUCCCAAGGAAUCAACUAAAUGCCAACACAAAACCUUGAGUGGAGAAUAAUACCGAGAGGGGUGGCCCUUUUGAUUCCAACAUAUUUUCAACCGAGAGCUAUUCAAGAGUGUUGAAGUGUUGCUUCCAGCCGUGAUGGAGCUUGGGUGUUAAUUUGGUUGUGUGAAGGCCGUGAGCUUCCUUGGACGUGGCUGCUGUGUGCUCUCUACUGCCAUGCAUCUCAAAGAAACUUGUGAGCUCUACUUUUCUUCAUGCAGCUUCACGGUUUUACCUUCUUCAGCAAAAGAAAACAAAACUCUCUAUGCUAAGUGGUGGCUCCCAAUUUAAUUCCAACUUUGCUGAUUGCUUGCUUCUUCAUGGGCCCUAGGCCGUGUGCUUUUAAUUGUGUAAUGCACUGAGAGUUAAAAUCUGCACCUCUUUUCUAUUAUGUAGGCCGUGACUUAUGUGGCAUGUGUUGAUGUGCUUGACAAAAUGAUCUUGACAAAAUGAAUUUUAUGGGGCUGUGAUCUGUUGUCCCGUGAAUGGUCGUGACUUCUCCAUUGCCCCCUUGUCUUCCAGUUAAGGCCGUGUAGAAUGCUGCUAAUGAUUGAAUGAUGCUUUUCCAAA